rnacentral:tRNA from 1 species
GGGGAUAUAGCUCAGUGGUAGAGCAAAGGUUCAGUGGGCACGAGGCCCUGGGUUCCAUCCCCAGCAGCACCA